AAAGAAAAUAACAAUGAUUCCCCUAGUAACGGCGAGCGAAGAGGGAAUAGCUCAAAUUUUAAAUCUGUUGGGUCUUACCUAACCGAGUUGUAAUUUGAAGAAACGUUUUCUGCGUGUUUGAUUUAGCCCAAAUCCUUUGGGAUAAGGUAUCAUGGAGGGUGAGAAUCCCGUCCGGCCUAAUCAAAUGUGCUUUACGAUACGUUUUCUAAGAGUCGAGUUGUUUGGGAUUGCAGCUCAAAAUGGGAGGUAAAUUUCUCCUAAGGCUAAAUAUAGGCGAGAGACCGAUAGCGAACAAGUACCGUGAGGGAAAGAUGAAAAGAACUUUGAAAAGAGAGUUAAACAGUACGUGAAAUUGUUGAAAGGGAAACGAUUAAAGUCAGUCGUACUAACGGGGAAUCAACCUUUUGAGGGUGGAAUUGUGGGAUUCAAAGUGCCUUUGUUUUUCACAACCUGCUUUUUUUGGGUGUACUUUCUCGUAUUGUAGGUCAGCAUCGGUUUCGACCGUUAUAAAAUGACUGGAGGAAUGUAGCUUUGAUCUCGUAUUGAAGUGUUAUAGCCUUUGGUAGAUGUAACGGAUGGGAUCGAGGAUUGCAAUGAAUACCCUCAUGGGCUAUCCGCCUGGCCUCUGACAUGUCACUCUGGUGCCGAAAGCGUGCUUAUGGUAUUAUAGUGUACGGUCAAAAGGUUAGAACGGAUUAAAUU
rnacentral:rRNA from 1 species